GACGAACGCUGGCGGCGUGCUUAACACAUGCAAGUCGAACGGAAAGGCCCUGCUUUUGUGGGGUGCUCGAGUGGCGAACGGGUGAGUAACACGUGAGUAACCUGCCCUUGACUUUGGGAUAACUUCAGGAAACUGGGGCUAAUACCGGAUAGGAGCUCCUGCUGCAUGGUGGGGGUUGGAAAGUUUCGGCGGUUGGGGAUGGACUCGCGGCUUAUCAGCUUGUUGGUGGGGUAGUGGCUUACCAAGGCUUUGACGGGUAGCCGGCCUGAGAGGGUGACCGGCCACAUUGGGACUGAGAUACGGCCCAGACUCCUACGGGAAGCAGCAGUGGGGAAUAUUGCACAAUGGGCGGAAGCCUGAUGCAGCAACGCCGCGUGCUGGAUGACGGCCUUCGGGUUGUAAACCGCUUUCGCCUGUGACGAAGCGUGAGUGACGGUAAUGGGUAAAGAAGCACCGGCUAACUACGUG
rnacentral:rRNA from 1 species